AAAGAGUCUACAUUCAGGAGGAAGUAAUCCCAGAAAAGGAAGAACAGGCAGAUCAAGAUGUGUAGCUCUGUGGCCGCCAAGUUGUGGUUUUUGACAGAUCGUCGAAUCAGGGAAGACUAUCCUCAAAAAGAGAUCUUACAAGCGUUCAAGGCCAAAUGUUGUGAGGAGGAACUGGACUUUAGGGCUGUGGUGAUGGAUGACGUGGUGCUGACAGCUGAGCAAGGAAACCUGGGUCUUCGUAUCAAAGGAGAACUAAUGGCUGCUUACCCUCAGGUGGUGGUAGUGAGAGUACCAACCCCUUGGGUGCAAAGUGAUGGUGACAUCACUGUUUUGCGCCAUCUAGAGAAGAUGGCAUGCAGGUGGAUGAACCGACCUCAAGCCAUCCUGAACUGUGGUAAUAAGUUCUGGACGUUUCAAGAGUUGGCAGGUCACGGUGUUCCUCUGCCAGAUACCUUCUCUUAUGGUGGUCAUGAAAAUUUUGCUAAAAUGAUUGAUGAAGCAGAAGUACUGGAGUUCCCAAUGGUGGUGAAGAAAACACGGGGCCAUAGAGGCAAAGCAGUUUUCUUGGCUUGCGAUAAGCACCAUUUGGCUGAUCUAAGCCAUCUUAUUCGCCGUGAAGCUCCAUACCUGUUUCAGAAGUGUGUUAAAGAGUCUCAUGGAAGGGAUGUACGUGCCAUUGUUGUGGGAGGCCGUGCGGUUGGCACCAUGUUACGCUGUUCAACAGAUGGGAGGAUGCAAAGCAACUGCUCACUGGGUGGUGUACGGAUGAUGUGCUCAUUGAGUGAACACGGGAAACAGCUAGCUAUCCAGGUGUCUAAUAUCCUGGGAAUGAAUGUGUGUGGCAUUGACCUGUUGAUGAAAGACAACGGCUUCUUCUGUGUCUGCGAGGCCAGUGCAAAUGUAGGUUUGAUAAGGCUUGUGAUCUGGAUGUAGCUGGUAUCACAGCAGACUAUGCCGCCUCCCUUCUGCCCUCUGGCCGGCUCACCUGGCGUAUGUCCCUGCUCUCCGCGGUGUCCAUGGCCAGUGAGACUAGUGAGCCGGAGCUGGGCCCCCCAGCCAACACUGCUGUCGACAACCUGAGCACAAGUUCCAGCUCUGUUGACAGCGACCCCGAAACCGCAGAGCGAGAGCUGCUCACCAAGCUCGCAGGGGGCCUAUUCAACGGAAACCAACUGCUAGCCAAUGAAAUCAAACUCCUGGCGGAGUGA